UCUAAUGUUACUCACUCCUAACAACAUUUGAACCAUCACUAGCCGCCGCCGCGCCGGCUGUCAUGGGAUGCAUUUCCCAACCACGGUUUUCUGCAGGGUGCCCUGCAAUUCCAGCCCUUUACAGAGAAAUGGCAUCAUAGUACGGUUUUUGUGCUUCGAUUGGGUCUGUAGUUAAAGUCAUUUUCGGUUCGAAAUCUGCUUUAGCUACUGCGCUUUCGAUUCUUCUUCACAAACCCGCCUCCAAACGCCAUUACAUUUCUUCAUCUAUGAUCAUUGUAAUUGAAGAAAAAUCACUUAAUUUAUUUGAACUAAAUCUAAUCUAAUAACAUGGAUUUAAAUUUUCGAUUGGAAUUUGUUUUUGUUUAUAGUUCGAGGCAAGAUAAGCGAUUUACUAUUUGAUUGAAUCCAAAUUAAAACCUCUCAAAUUUAUAGA